rnacentral:lncRNA from 1 species
GGCAUCACCAGGGAGAUGAUGAAGAAGGGCAGCCAACACACAAUAAAUGCUCCUAAAAUGAUCCCUAGGGUCUUGGUGGCUUUGCGCUCCCUAGCGGCCAUGAGUUUCUUCUUUUCCAGCAGGGCGUCUGAGACUCGCACUUUGACUUGGUUCACGUACACAGGAGACCCGGACUCACUGGGCACGUCCGGAGCCCGGGAGUUAAUGGAGGUGACCGAGGAUGUGGAUCCCGGGGAGUCUGUUAUCAACUGGGCUCGGGUCAAGCGCUUGCCGGUCUUGUUGGGUGUCUGUUUCAAAAUCCGAGAGCGGGCUUCCACAUAGAUGCGGCCAUAGAGGGCGAUGAGGAGCAGGGUGGGUAAAUAGAAAGCGCCCACCGUGGAGUAGACCGUGUAGAGGACGUGGUCGGUGUUCACAAAGCAGUCCAGCAUCUCCUCCUCUGCUUUGGCUUGACGCCAGAAGAAGGGUGGCAACGAAAUAGAGAUGGAGAAGACCCACACCAGCACGAUCAUGAUGGCCGCCCUUUUGGGAGUCCUUUUAGCAGAAUACUCCACCGCAUCGGUGAUGGCCCAGUAGCGGUCCAGGGCGAUGACACAGAGAUGCAUGAUGGAAGCAGUGCAACAGGUGAUAUCCGACGACAGCCAGAAGUCGCAGACCACCUGGCCUAGUGUCCAGCGUCCAGUGACCGUGUACAUGGUGCUGAUGGGCAUCACCAGGAUGGACACGAGCAGGAAGGCGUUGGAGAGCGUGGUGGCCAAGGUGAUGAGCGCCAACAAAGCAACCAGCAGGACUUUCCAGGGCAGGGCGAUGGAGUCCUGGUAAAUGUAGCCGUCGGCGCUGCAGUUGUGGGAGAGGUAAAAUCGUCAUCGAAGACUCCAGCACUGAACAACCCUUUCCUGUGUAGCGAUAACCCAUAGCCAGGCUCCUCUCAAACAGCCUCACUAUCUCUGAAAGUUGGGCCAAGUAACUCACUAAAGCAGGAUUUCAAAGCAAAACUCCUGCAAGUACCAUUUACAAGAAGGAUCUACGCGAGGCACAAAGCAAAUCUCAAGCAAACUGAAACUGACAGUUAAUCAAAAAAGAUGAUUAAGAAAAUAACCGUAAUCAAAGGAAAUAACUUCUCCAUCAACAAUCAGGAUACGCCACGACUGCAAGCUCCUGCUGCCUGCACCUCCUUGCCAUGAUGGACUGUACCUUGAACCCUGUGCUGAAAGAAGCCUGUUCUUUCAUAAGUUGCUUUCAUCAGAGUAUUAUGUCACAGCAACAGAAGAGAAACUAGGACAGCAUAAAUAAAAUUACAUUUCAUAAAUUUGCCAGCACCCAAAUCUAACUCAACCCUCCCAAGUAUACAGAGCCAUGUUCUAUCUUGUCCUUGUCAAAUACCCCUGUCUUUCUCUCAGGUACUUCCAAAGGCUGAUGGCUGACACCUUGGCAACAAAAAUGUAUAACUACAUUGUCUUGGUUCAUUCUUCACUCAGUAGAUUAUUGCUUUGGAUCCUAAAUGCCAAUAUUUUUUCUGUAUAUAUUAAAUGAAAAGGUCUAAGACAGUGAUGACUUCUCUUGUUAGAAAAGUUUACUUUUCUGCCAAAUGUAUACUCUAUUUUCAGUAUUAGAGUAUGCUUUUAUUAUGUCUAUUUUUUUCUCUACUACCGCUUGACUAUAACAGACUAGUUAUGUGAAUUUGUCCUAACGUAGUAAAUUUUAAGGCUAAAACUUUGGGCUGUGGUGAGUUCUCAGAUCAUUGUCAGUUUGUUUCCAAAAGGAAUAUGAGACCCCAGUUCUCUCUUAUUCUUCCUUCUGCUUCUUAAUCACGAGGUAAUGCAGUUUACCAUUUGCCCCAUCUUGGUCCUCUGGCAUCCUUAUCUCUAGUCCAAAUAUAGGUUAACAAAAUCUUAGAAUUUCCAAUCCAAAAGCAUGAGCCAAUAUGCACCUUUCAUAUUCAUUAAUCAAUCAUUUAACAUUUGGGUUGUUAUAGUAACAAGAAGCUAACUAACAAAGUCCCUUCAUGUCCUGAGAGAGGUAUCAUAUAUUUUUUUAAAAUGUUUUUUUGGUGUUAUUUUCAUUAUGUUUGCAUUUUAAGUAUGAGUGUGUAUAGAAAAUUGGCAUUUAGUUGAGUAAGAUUGCUGAGUAUUUUGAGUCAUAAAAAUUGGGUUGUCAUUUGUUUUAUAUUUUUGUGCAUAUGUAUGUUUAUUUUUACUUAUUAUUAAUGUUUUAUUGUUUAAAAACAGAUGAAUUCA